rnacentral:rRNA from 1 species
UGGGGGAUAUUGGUCAAUGGGGGGAAACCCUGAACCAGCGACGCCGCGUGAGGGAAGACGGUUUUCGGAUUGUAAACCUCUGUCUUUGGGGACGAUAAUGACGGUACCCAAGGAGGAAGCCACGGCUAACUACGUGCCAGCAGCCGCGGUAAUACGUAGGUGGCAAGCGUUGUCCGGAAUUACUGGGUGUAAAGGGAGCGUAGGCGGGGCUGUAAGUUGGAUGUUAAAUCUACGGGCUUAACUCGUAUCAGCAUUCAAAACUGUGGCUCUUGAGUGAAGUAGAGGCAGGCGGAAUUCCUAGUGUAGCGGUGAAAUGCGUAGAUAUUAGGAGGAACACCAGUGGCGAAGGCGGCCUGCUGGGCUUUUACUGAC